ensembl:miRNA MIR199A1 microRNA 199a-1
CCCAGUGUUCAGACUACCUGUUCAGGGGCUGCUGCACGCGUACAGUAGUCUGCACAUUGGUUAGGCUGGGCU